UACGAAGGGGGCGAGCGUUGUUCGGAUUUACUGGGCGUAAAGGGCGCGCAGGCGGCUUAUUUUGUCAGGCGUGAAAGCCCCGGGCUUAACCUGGGAACUGCGUUUGAUACGGAUGGGCUAGAGUUCGGGAGAGGAGAGUGGAAUUCCUGGUGUAGCGGUGAAAUGCGUAGAGAUCAGGAAGAACAUCGGUGGCGAAGGCGCUCUGCUGGACCAUAACUGACACUCAGGGACGAAAGCUAGGGGAGCGAAUGGG
rnacentral:rRNA from 1 species